GAUGAACGCUGGCGGCGUGCCUAAUACAUGCAAGUCGAGCGAACGGACGAGAAGCUUGCUUUUCUGAUGUUAGCGGCGGACGGGUGAGUAACACGUGGAUAACCUACCUAUAAGACUGGGAUAACUUCGGGAAACCGGAGCUAAUACCGGAUAAUAUUUUGAACCGCAUGGUUCAAAAGUGAAAGACGGUCUUGCUGUCACUUAUAGAUGGAUCCGCGCUGCAUUAGCUAGUUGGUAAGGUAACGGCUUACCAAGGCAACGAUGCAUAGCCGACCUGAGAGGGGUAUCGGCCACACUGGAACUGAGACACGGUCCAGACUCCUACGGGAGGCAGCAGUAGGGAAUCUUCCGCAAUGGGCGAAAGCCUGACGGAGCAACGCCGCGUGAGUGAUGAAGGUCUUCGGAUCGUAAAACUCUGUUAUUAGGGAAGAACAUAUGUGUAAGUAACUGUGCACAUCCUGACGGUACCUAAUCAGAAAGCCACGGCUAACUACGU
rnacentral:rRNA from 1 species